CGACCUGCACGAAUGGAGUAACGACUUCCCUACUGUCUCAACCAUGAACUCGGCGAAAUUGCAGUACGAGUAAAGAUGCUCGUUUCGCGCAGCAGGACGGAAAGACCCCGUGACCUUUACUACAGUUUGGUAUUGGUGUUCGGAGUGGCUUGUGUAGGAUAGGUGGGAGACUGUGAAGCGGGCACGCUAGUGUUCGUGGAGUCAUUGUUGAAAUACCACUCUGGUCACUUUGGAUGUCUAACGUAGGACCCUGAUCGGGUUCAUGGACAGUGCCUGAUGGGUAGUUUAACUGGGGCGGUUGCCUCCUAAAGAGUAACGGAGGCGCCCAAAGGUUCCCUCAACCUGG
rnacentral:rRNA from 1 species